GUAAGCUUUUUGUACUUUCAGAGGCAUCUCCUUCUUCAGGAUUGACUCUAACCCUGCCCCCAGAGCACAGGAAGAACUAUGGAAGACAGAGUGAAAGAACAUUAAGAGCUGAAGGAAGGACAGCAGCCAUGAUUGCCUGCACAAGAUCUGCACACGUCUAGAUGUAAGCAGUUAAUGGCAGGGGUCAGUUUCGUCCACUGGAAAAAGAAGUUAGGAGGCUCAGAUGGCACACAUCUGGAGAACAUCCCGUGGAAAACUUGUGAAUGGAGAGAGUUGACUGCAACUCUUCCUGCCUGAAAGAGCCCACACAUCAUGUGGCAGAUCCUUGGGUUUAGAUGCAUACAGGUGGUGCUACCAGCUCCAGCUCCUCACUGCAGCAUUAUUGGUUUUCUCGGCUUUAUUUUGGACGUAGUCAAAGGAAGCGCUGCCUAAGCUAUUCUUGCCUGUGUUUUGUGACAUGGCAUCCACAAUCCAUCUAUGAUGAUAUGUUGUACAGUUAAAAACUUGUCAGUUCGUGAAAACUAUUGCUGAAGACACCAAUUACUUAUGUAAUUGAACAUGAAGAAAUUGAGCUGGUGCCCAAGACUAGCAGUCAUGAUGCUGGAAGGUACUCUACAGACUACUACUGAAGAGAAGUAAUCACCAGUAUCACCAAGUUAUGAACCCUGCAAGCUACAAUACUGGUAAAAUAUUACGGGAGUUACCAACAACUUUUUUAAAAUUGGCCCACUCCAUGAGAUAGAAACCAUACCUAACACUGCCAACGUAACCAAGAAUCUAAGACUUUAUAUGUCAUAGACCCUAAGGGAAAACCUACUGUAAUUAUUCUGCUAAAUAAUAAAAAAUUACUCUUAAUGGUAUACUGCUAUCUCCAUAGACCAGAACAUCACUCAGUCCUCAUCAGAGAAGUACUCUGCCUGGAGCUACAUUCAAGAAUUACUUUCUUGCAAAAUUGUUGGUACUUUUUUCCUAUAAUUUAAAAUGUCAGAUUCCCAGUACAAUAAGUCACCAGUGUAUAGUUGAGGCCAGACUGCUGGCCAUGAAAAU